rnacentral:rRNA from 1 species
UACGGAGGAUGCAAGCGUUAUCCGGAUUCAUUGGGUUUAAAGGGUGUGUAGGCGGAAUUAUAAGUCAGUGGUGAAAUCUUGCGGCUUAACCGUAAAACUGCCAUUGAUACUGUAGUUCUUGAGUGUAGUUGAAGUGGGCGGAAUGUGUAAUGUAGCGGUGAAAUGCUUAGAUAUUACACAGAACACCGAUUGCGAAGGCAGCUCACUAAGCUAAUACUGACGCUGAGGCACGAAAGCGUGGGGAU